UAGGUUAUGCAAGUCGAACGGUCCAAUCCUGAGCUGCAUCUUCGGAUAAGGCUUGGGAUAAGGAAAGUGGCGAACGGGUGAGUAACACGUGGGUAAUCUACCCUCCGGUGGGGAAUAACAUCCCGAAAGGGGUGCUAAUACCGCAUGAUGUCUCAGGAGCGCGAGUUCUUGGGAUGAAAGGUGGCCUCUGUUUCAUGCUGCCGCCGGAGGAGGGGCCCGCAGCCUAUUA
rnacentral:rRNA from 1 species